CGCUAAGGUGCGCUACUCUCAUACCUUAACAUUGACCUAAGGUAGUCUUAGCGCUAAGGUGCGCUACUCCCAUACCUUAACAUUGACCUAAGGUAGUCUUAGCGCUAAGGUUGUUUUGUACUACGACAUCCAGGUAUACAAGAUCGAAAAGAAUAAUCAUUGAAACUAUCUGCCAAUCAUAACUAGAUUGUGAUUAGUUUUAAGUCAAAAUAAGAAAAGACGUUGUAAUAUGUUUGUUUUUUUAAAAACAUUAUUCUGAACUAUUUUUGUAAAAGCCCCAUUGACAUGCCUUUAUUGAUAAAUGUUAUUCCGUAUAAACUGCCAGACAGAAGAAAGUAUAAACUUCAAAUCGGAUGUAACGAAAUACGUUCAAAAAUACCACAGUCACCGAAACAAUGAAAACAUAAAAAACCCGAAAACACACCAUUUUGACCCGUAUAAUCACUCUUACCAAAUAACAUGUUUUUCCAUUUCUAUCCACCAUCAAACAUGGUGUGUACAUUCUCAUGCCUGGCAGUAUUUUUCUCUUGAAUCUGUAAACACUGGCAAUCACUGACGAACAUACAAUGUAAAACAUUCUUGUGGUAAAUAUAGCAAUACCGCCCCAAGUUAUGUAACUGAUAUAAGCAAUAUUCCUACUCUGGCUGCACGGUUGAUCUGUCAAUAUAGCAUUGCACCUUCAGUCCAGACUGAGAGCAUUUAGUUACAUGGGUACAAAGAAUUCGUAGUUAAGCUACAAAUGUGAACAUAUCUUUCCAAUAGGGUUGAUUGGUUCGGUGAAUGGAUAUGGGAAAUAUUUUGCAAACAAAGAUAAUAUUAGCUCUUUGUUGACAAAAUAAAAGUAAAAAGAGCAAUAUACACGAUAUUACGCACACCUUGUGCGAAUUCUUGCCUCUUCUUUCUUGUGUGUUUCAACCCCUCUGGUAGUCAUGCUAACUCUAAUACUCGCCAAAGCUCCAUAACCUGCCUUUGUUUUAGCUCUGGGAACGAACUGAUAAUGUUAUCAUUCAUGAUGGCUGAAUGACUGUAAGGAUUAAGAUGUGACCCAGCAAUUCAUAACCAAUGUUGAUUGAAACCGUCUAUUGUUUUAAUAAUAUGAUAUUAAUGAGUUGAUAAUCCGCUAAUCAUACACAUCCUGUUUAACCACUGUUAACCCCUGUCCAGCAGACAUUUAUAUAAAUGGCUUCGAGAAUUACUAUAUGGUCACGUGACCUUCCAUGGUACAGUUACUUCAGUACUGUGUUCUUCCUGUAUGGCGUGCAAUACAUGUACUCGCAGCGAUAAUGGGAGGAGGCAAUUAACAUUAUGUAAGGUAUUUAGGUGGUAUAGGAUUGUAAGAGCUUUUGUUGUUGUUUAACGCCUCACUUAGCAAUAUUCCAGCUAUUUGACGAUGGUCUGUAAAUAAUCGAGUCUGGACCAGACUAUCCAGUGAUUGACGCCAUCGCUAUUUCCGUACGAUGACAUGCCGAAUCCAUUAGCGCCUCUUUCAAACAUGGGCUGCUGAAAACCAAUUCUAACCCGGAUUUUCACAGGUCAAGAUUGUAAGAACCUGUUUUAUAAAUGUAUUAGGAUUUAUUUUGGAAUAUUAACACAAACAAUAAUGUUAUAUACAAUUAUAAGGUCCUAGAUCGUUUCAGCAAUCGUAUCACAUGCUGAUUUGAGGUCGGUUAAAGAUGCAUUCUUCUAUUUUUGGAAAAGAAUAAUUUCACUGCCCGGGGAAUCUCUAAGAAAUGUCUUUUGUUCCCGCCGUAAUAUUGCUGGGAUAUUGCUAAAAGUGUCGUAAAACCAUGCUCACUAUUCUUGGAAUACGGUUAACAUGAUAUAUCGUUUUAGGCAAUGCAACUCCCAUCAAAACCGUUAUCCUGGUGCAGAAUCGACACGCCGUUUUUCUGGAACUACGGUUAACCGGAUAUAUUUAAUUUCCUAUCCCGGGAUUUCACGUUUAAUGAGGCUUCGAAGUGUUUUUAUUCACAGGUAGACGGGCUCCUGUGAAUUUGCAUGCAUUCGAGCACGCAGGAUGAUGACAGAUCGAUCUUUGUGCUAGGAUAUCUGUGUCUCCCAUAUUUUAACUGUAAUUACAGUAGGCAUACCGUUGAGAACACUUUGAGAAGCCGGGCCAGGCCGGAGACUGCUUGGCGUGUCAGCGGGCCGUUAGUAGCUGUGUAGAUGCGUUCCCAUGUCUGUAUCAGACAAUUCUUCCUAAUGAUAUACACUUGUUGCCGUAUGAUCAGUUCAUGUCUUUUCAUGAUCAAUUUAUAUUGUGUUGUUAUUUUAUUGAUUAAUGAAAUUAAAACUCUUUCUCAAUCAA
rnacentral:lncRNA from 1 species